GUGAGGAAUAUUGGUCAAUGGGCGGAAGCCUGAACCAGCCAAGUAGCGUGCAGGACGACGGCCCUAUGGGUUGUAAACUGCUUUUAUGCGGGGAUAAAGUGGGCCACGUGUGGCCUUUUGCAGGUACCGCAUGAAUAAGGACCGGCUAAUUCCGUGCCAGCAGCCGCGGUAAUACGGAAGGUCCGGGCGUUAUCCGGAUUUAUUGGGUUUAAAGGGAGCGCAGGCCGCCGGGCAAGCGUGUUGUGAAAUGCAGUCGCUCAACGUCUGCACUGCAGCGCGAACUGCCCAGCUUGAGUGCGCGCAACGUUGGCGGAAUUCGCCGUGUAGCGGUGAAAUGCUUAGAUAUGGCGAAGAACUCCGAUUGCGAAGGCAGCUGACGGGUGCGUAACUGACGCUCAUGCUCGAAAGUGCGGGUAUCGAACAGGAUUAGAAACCCUAGUAGUCC
rnacentral:rRNA from 1 species